UACAGAGGGUGCUAGCGUUGUUCGGAUUCAUUGGGCGUAAAGGGUGUGUAGGUGGCGCGCUAAGUCGGGUGUGAAAUUUCGGAGCUUAACUCCGAAACUGCAUUCGAUACUGGCGUGCUUGAGGACUGGAGAGGAGACUGGAAUUCAUGGUGUAGCAGUGAAAUGCGUAGAGAUCAUGAGGAAGACCAGUGGCGAAGGCGGGUCUCUGGACAGUUCCUGACGCUGAGGCACGAAGGUCAGGGGAGCAAACGGG
rnacentral:rRNA from 1 species